rnacentral:hammerhead_ribozyme from 1 species
AUCCAGCUGACGACUCCCAAAUAGGACGAAAUACACGUCCUGGAU